CUCUCUCAGAGAGUUUAUUUUUUAACAGGGCAACACAAGGAGAAACUCACAGAACAAGAUGCAGCAGCCAAGAAUUGAGAACAACAGUCUGCAGUCAGCAUGUGAAUUCAGUACUUUUUCCUUCAAAGGAAGAUAACAGGAAAGCAACGACAACAAAAAAAAUGAAAACUGCAAGAAAGUGUGAGGCAUGGGGUUAUGAAGGAUAAUCCUGACUGCACUGGAGCAAUACCCUUGUAGACCCUGUUGUGAAAGUGGAGCUCGUGGGAAGAGGCUACCUGAGCUGGCAGUGGUAAUCCAGAACUGGAGUAUGAAGUAUGACCAUAGCCUGCACCAACAAAGCUGUCUACAUCUCCAAAGCAAAGAAGUUCCACAUAGCAGUGGCAACAUUUAUAUAGCAAUACUGAAAGGGGUUUGAAAUGAUCUGCCCAGCGAGGUUGUGCUGCAUCCUUGGAUGUUUUCAAGACUUGAAAAGAUAAAGCCCUGAGCAAUCUGGUUUGAGCUCGGAGCUGACCCGGUUUUGUGCAAGAGCUUGCCCAGAGUCACCUUCC
ensembl:lncRNA